rnacentral:lncRNA from 1 species
UGAACAGAGAUAACAGGGUUCCCAUUAGAAACCAUGGCAUUUGGGAAAUUUAUUCAAAUCAGAAAGUCAAGUAGUCCAGCUGUAGGCAAUAGCUCCCCCAAUAAUUGUUUAAUUUUUGACUGUGAAUGUUAAGAUAGAAAGUAGCUAGUAUAUUUUGUAAAAAAAAAGCCUUGAUUUCCCAGCUGUCUGCCGCUAAAUGUCAGGGUCCCCAGUAGUGAGGGGCGCAUGGUAGUUGAAAGAGAAGACACAACAGCGAGCCCAAGCUCUGACGCCAUCUCUCCACAGAGAUGCACUCUUUCAGGUUAAGGGAAGCGGAGAGAGCUGUGAGCUAACACUCUGGAAACCGGGGUCAAGUCACUUUGAGGUCCCUAAAGUCCCUGAGGGACACUCUGGUGAUGUGAGGGCGCCAGUGUUGCAGCCAAGAUCUGAAGAAUUAUCCCGACACGUCUGGACACUAUUCUUCAAGCCCGUCAGAAGCUAUUGCACUGUUCCCUAAAGUGCUUUGUCAGCCUCUGUAUACCGGAACAUCAUUGAUGAGGCCGUUUGGCGCCGUAACGCGUACUGCGCUUGGUCUAAAUGAAAUAAAUAAGGGGUAACACUGUCGUUUUUUAUUGGUCAACAUGGAAAAAACAUGAGGGGUAACACUGUUGUUUUUUAUUGGUCUUCAUGAAAAACAACAUAAGGGGUAACACUGUUGUCCUUGUCAAAUAAAAUAUAAGUCGUUAUUUAUUAGUCGUCAUGAAAUAAACAUAAGGGGUAAACCUGUCGAUAUUGAUCAAAUAAAACAUAGGGGGUAACACUGUCGUUUUUAUUUGGUCGUCAUGGAAAAAAACAUAAGGGGUAACACUGUUGUUUUUUAUCAGCCGUCAUGAAAUAAACAUAAGGGGUAAACCUGUCGAUAUUGAUCAAAUAAAACAUAGGGGGUAACACUGUUGUUUUUCUUUGGUCGUCAUGAAAAAAAACACAAGGGGUAACACUUGUCUUUGUCAAAUAAAAUAUAAGGGGUAACACUGUCGUUUUUUAUCAGUCGUCAAUGACGACUGAUAAAAAACGACAGUGUUACCCCUUAUAUUUGUCUUUGUCAAAUAAAAUAUA